UACGUAGGGUGCGAGCGUUAAUCGGAAUUACUGGGCGUAAAGCGUGCGCAGGCGGUUCUGAAAGUCAGCUGUGAAAGCCCCGGGCUUAACCUGGGAAUGGCGGUUGAAACUACAGGACUAGAAUCUGGCAGAGGGGGGUGGAAUUCCACGUGUAGCAGUGAAACGCGUAGAGAUGUGGAGGAACACCGAUGGCGAAGGCAGCCCCCUGGGCUGAGAUUGACGCUCAGGCACGAAAGCGUGGGAGCAAACAGG
rnacentral:rRNA from 1 species